rnacentral:rRNA from 1 species
UACGAAGGGGGCUAGCGUUGUUCGGAAUCACUGGGCGUAAAGCGCACGCAGGCGGAUUGAUAAGUCGGGGGUGAAAUCCCGGGGCUCAACCUCGGAAUUGCCUUCGAUACUGUCUGUCUUGAGUCCGGGAGAGGUGAGUGGAAUUCCUAAUGUAGAGGUGAAAUUCGUAGAUAUUAGGAAGAGCACCAGUGGCGAAGGCGGCUCACUGGCCCGGUACUGACGCUCAUGUGCGAAAGCGUGGGGAGCAAACAGG